CUUAAUUUUAGUUACAAUAGUUUUUAUAAGAUGCAAGCACAUAUAAACGGCAUCAGUUACCAUUUUCAACACUCCAUUAUAGCCACAAUAAGGCUUUCUUAUUUCCAAAUAUACUGGGCUGACAUUCAACUCACUUAAAUAUGCAAAACUACCACCUUUCGUGCGCACUUUUCUCUGUGCAUUCACUGUGCUUCAUCGCAUGUCAAAUGCAUAUUUUACUAUUGAGCGCCACCGCUGUUGUCCUUGUCGUCCUGGCUGGCAUUGUUGCUGUUGCUGUUGCAGCCAUCCUUGUGCGCUACUUGGGGCGCAGUUGUUAACGAAAACGGAUUCCGGAAGGCGGACGACCGAUACGGAUAUAGGUGCACACUGUACGGCAAAGGGCAGUGGAGAAGGGGAGAUGGACAGAAUGGAGGCCAUCGAAUGACGGCUGAGUGUCCGGCAAAACUGACGAUUCGAGGUGGCAUCUUCACGUACACAUCGCUGAUGGGGCCACACACACACUCACACUCUUGGACACACAAUUUUGUCGCCUCUAAAGAAAUUGACGUUUUUUUACGAUUUCCACGUUAGUUGGCCCCCACUUCUCCUGCCACUUGACUAUUGAUUUUUACUUGGGAAUAAAUGGGUUUCGUUUGUCUGUUUAGCUAUGGCCGUUGUCAUUCGUAUUGGUAUUUCUACAGAAUGAGCGAAAAUUCAGCACUUCACUCACCCGAAAGUUUUCCUUAGCAAUUAUUGUGGGAAAUUAUUUUUCAUUUUGCUAGCAAAAGUCAGGGCAUUCAGCCCCUCGACGCCAUCAACUGACCAUCUCGAAUGGCCGGAACUAUUGUUAUUAAUACUGCCAGUGAAUGUUUUUCGUUGCGUUGCCCAUACCCACUCUGUUAUUUUUUUAUUUUGGUUGUGAGAAAAAUUGCACAGCAAAUGAAAAGUGAAAUGUGGAAAGUAAAUAAGUUGGAUAUUCCUUAAAAGUUGGAUAUUCCUUCCGCCAGCUGAAGAAUGUUAAAGGGAAAUUAAUUUCCUGCGAAUCCCUAUAAAUAAGAAUACAACAAAAGGGCUGAAUGGCUCCCACUCCGGUCAUCAUUUUGCUCGCUUCAGUUUUUGCUUAAUUGAAAUGCUCGUCCGUUCCGGGUUAUGCUUUCCGCUGGCGAGUAAAAAAAGGAGUCCUGGACAAACACCAGAUCAGAGCCCAACAGGUUCCCGUUUACGACCUGGCACAUGGAGGACAAUCGCCGGGAAUAAACAGCAGGAUACUCAGGAUACGACAGUCACAAACAAUUCAGCAUGUUUCCAGAAGACACAGAACCCAAAAUGGAGGUGAACCGGAAAAAAAGAGCCACAUUUCCACAUCGCAUUUAUAAUUAGAUUUUCAGCAAAAUCAGAAAUAAAAGUUUUUGAUUACACAGCA